GAUGAAGAACGCAGCGAAAUGCGAAAAGUAGUGUGAAUUGCAGAAUUCCGUGAAUCAUCGAAUCUUUGAACGCACAUUGCGCCACUCGGUAUUCCGUGGGGCAUGCCUGUUCGAGCGUCAUUUACACCCUCAAGCUCUGCUUGGUGUUGGGCGUCUGUCCCGCUUUAUGCGUGGACUCGCCCCAAAGUCAUUGGCAGCGGUCGUGCCAGCUUCUCGCGCAGCACAUUUGCGUUUCUUGAAGUUUGGUGGAUCAGCAUCCAGUAAGUUCUUUUAUGACUUGACCUCGGAUCAGGUAGGGAUACCCGCUGAACUUAAGCAUAUCAAUAAGCGGAGGA
rnacentral:misc_RNA from 1 species